rnacentral:rRNA from 1 species
GAUGAACGCUAGCGGCAGGCCUAAUACAUGCAAGUCGGACGGGAUUUGGGAGCUUGCUCCUAAUGAGAGUGGCGCACGGGUGCGUAACACGUAUGUAACCUACCUUAAUCAGGGGGAUAGCCUCUCGAAAGAGAGAUUAACACCGCAUAACAUAUUUUUAUGGCAUCGUAGAAAUAUCAAAUAUUUAUAGGAUUAAGAUGGGCAUGCGGAACAUUAGCUAGUUGGUAAGGUAACGGCUUACCAAGGAUACGAUGUUUAGGGGAUCUGAGAGGUUGACCCCCCACACGGGUACUGAGACACGUACCAGACGCCGACGGGAGGCAGCAGCAAGAAAUAUUGGUCAAUGGGCGCAAGCCUGAACCAGCCAUGCCGCGUGCAGGAAGACGGCCCUAUGGGUUGUAAACUGCUUUUGUACCGGAAUAAACCCUUUUACGUGUAGAAGGCUGAAUGUACGGUAAGAAUAAGGAUCGGCUAACUCCGUGCCAGCCGCCGCCGUAA